rnacentral:rRNA from 1 species
AGCAGCCGCGGUAAUUCCAGCUCCAAUAGCGUAUAUUAAAGUUGUUGCAGUUAAAAAGCUCGUAGUUGAAUUUCGGGAUCAAUAUGUUGGUCGUGCCUCGGUACGUACUGGCAUUAUUGGUUUCUACCUUCUGAAGAACCUCGAUGUCAUUAAUUUGGUGUCUUGGGGAAUCAGGACUGUUACUCUGAAAAAAUUAGAGUGUUUAAAGCAAGCUAACGCUUGAAUACAUUAGCAUGGAAUAAUGAAAUAGGACGUUCGAUCCUAUUUUGUUGGUUUCUAGGAUUGACGUAAUGAUUAAUAGGGAUAGUUGGGGGCAUUAGUAUUCAAUUGUCAGAGGUGAAAUUCUUGGAUUUAUUGAAGACUAACUACUGCGAAAGCAUUUGCCAAGGAUGUUUUCAUUAAUCAAGAACGAAAGUUAGGGGAUCGAAGACGAUCAGAUACCGUCGUAGUCUUAACCAUAAACUAUGCCGACUAGGGAUCGGAUGAUGUUAAUUUUUUAAUGACUCA